rnacentral:misc_RNA from 1 species
ACGCGAUAUGUAAUGUGAAUUGCAGAAUUCAGUGAAUCAUCGAAUCUUUGAACGCACAUGGCGCCUUCCAGUAUCCUGGGAGGCAUGCCUGUCCGAGCGUCGUUUCAACCCUCGAGCCCCCGUGGCCCGGCGUUGGGGAUCUGCCACGGCAGGCCCCUAAAACCAGUGGCGGACCCGAAGGCCCUCUCCUUUGCGCAGUAGCAUCAGCCUCGCAUUGGGAUCCCUCGGCGUCCUGCCUCUAAACCCCCCACAAGUCCGCUCCGGCGGCACCAAGGUUGACCUCGGAUCAGGUAGGAAUACCCGCUGAACUUAA